GACGAACGCUGGCGGCGUGCUUAACACAUGCAAGUCGAACGGAAAGGCCCUUCUUUUGUUGUUUACACGAGUGGCGAACGUGUGAGUAACACGUGAGUAACCUUCCCACAACUUUGUGAUAACGCUAGGAAACUGGUUCUAAUACUUGAUAUGUUCUCCUGCUGCAUGUUGGUUGUUGUAAAGCUCCGGCGUUUGUGGAUGGACUCGCUGCCUAUCAGCUUGUUGGUGGGGUAGUGGCCUACCAAGGCGGCGACGGGUAGCCGGCCUGAGAGGGUGACCGGCCACAUUGGGACUGAGAUACGGCCCAGACUGCUAAGGGAGGAAGAAGUGGGGAAGAUUGCAAAAGGGGCGCAAGCCUGAUGCAGCAAAGCCGCGUGCGGGAUGACGGCCUUCGGGUUGAAAAACGCUUUCAGAAGGGACGAAGCUUUUUGUGACGGUAACUGCAGAAGAAGCACCGGCUAACUACGUG
rnacentral:rRNA from 1 species